CAAUAUCUGGUCUAUCAAUGCAUUGAAACUUAUUCAGCCUAUCAAGGACAAGUACCCUAGUCUAACUUAUGCAGAUUUGUUCCAGUAGGCUACUGCUACUGCUAUUGAGGAGACUGGAGGACUCAAAAUUCCCAUGAAAUAUGGAAGACUUGAUGCCUCUA